AGUGAACGCUGGCGGUAGGCCUAACACAUGCAAGUCGGACGGCAGCACAGUAAGAGCUUGCUCUUACGGGUGGCGAGUGGCGGACGUGUGAGGAAUACAUCGGAAUCUACUUUUUCGGGGGGGAUAACGUAGGGAAACUUACGCUAAUACCGCAUACGACCUACGGGUGAAAGCAGGGGAUCUUCGGACCUUGCGCGAUUGAAUGAGCCGAUGGCGGAUUAGCUAGUUGGCGGGGUAAAGGCCCACCCAGGCGACGAUCCGUAGCUUGUCUGAGAGGCUGGUCAGCCACACUGGAAGUGGGCCACGGUCAAGACGACUGCGGUAGGCAGCAGUGGGGAAUAUGGGACAAUGGGCGCAAGCAUGAUCCAGCCAGACCGCGUGUGUGAAGAAGGCCUUGGGGGUGGAAAGACCGUUUGUUGGGAAAGAAAAGCUGCAGGUUAAUACGACGCGGUUGUGACGGUACCCAAAGAAGAAGCACCGGCUAACUUCGUG
rnacentral:rRNA from 1 species